UGGGGAAUAUUGCACAAUGGGCGCAAGCCUGAUGCAGCCAUGCCGCGUGUAUGAAGAAGGCCUUCGGGUUGUAAAGUACUUUCAGCGGGGAGGAAGGCGAUAAGGUUAAUAACCUUGUCGAUUGACGUUACCCGCAGAAGAAGCACCGGCUAACUCCGUGCC
rnacentral:rRNA from 1 species